rnacentral:lncRNA from 1 species
CUCAGGACCGAAUGGAUUCCAAUCUAUUUGCUGCAUGACCCUCAUUCCUGUUGUGCCUUAAAUAAAGCCAGAUGUCAUUUGCGGCAGGAUCGUUCCAUCAGCCGACAGACGUGGCUCUUCCCCUGAUACUCUCCAUUGCAGGAGAUGAGUGACGCUUUGAGAAUCAAAAUCAGAUUUCUGCUGAUGUGAAGGUUUGGCCUGCUGGCCGUGGCCAAAUCAGACUCCACAGAAACGGGGUCAAAGGCUAUGAAGGAGCACGAAGCCAUUAAAGACCAGACACAAAACGGAGAAACCGGUCCUCCCUCGUCUCCCUGAGGUCCACUCUGUCACACAUCUUCAAGGUGGCACACACAGCCACGUUCCAGUCAAUUAAAGGCCAAUGCUGAGCCCUUCAAUCAAAAAGAAAGAAUUCCAUCUCCUCUCCUGGCUUCACGGCAACUACUGAAAACCGCGUCCCCUGGGGGACAUGAAGAAAUCAUCUAAUAGCUGUGUGUUUUAUUUCGUUAUUUUUUUAAAAUAGCAAUAUCAUUUUUAAUAGCUAUGUUUUAUAAUCUUGUUAUGUUCUCGUUACAUUAGAUUAUUGCUUAUUAUUUUUUUCCUGGUUGGGAAUCACAGUUUUGACUGCCUUAACUCAUGGCAACAAAACCCCAGGGCAAGUCUCUCUGAAACACA